rnacentral:lncRNA from 7 species
AAUGAGUAGAUUUAGGUAGAGCAUGGAGAUGCUUUCAGCAGAACUUCGUUGUUGCUUGUGCCUAUCACAGAGAAGUGCUGCAGGACACCAGCCUUGACACACUUCUCCCUUUCCUUGCUGUCCUUCACAUUGUGAAUAAGUGAACCUUCAGCCCUGCAAGCCUUGUACGCAAUUCAAAGUGCAAGAGCCAAUGCACUUGCCAUCAGAAGGACAGAGCAGGACACCUUGCGUUCUGAGGAUGUGAAGAUGUUUGGAGGUGUGAAGAUGGUCAGGAUGAGUCUGAGGACUGUCCUCUGGAAGCAUGUAGAAGAUCUGCAUUCCGGGCUGUCCCUCUCCUUUGGCAGCAUUGCUCCUGAAGGUAUCGUGGGUUUCCAUACACUGUACAGUUGACUCUACAAAUGACUGGAAUUGCACACUUAUUUCCCAUCAUUUGCUCACAUCUCACCGCUGGCUGUGUUCAUGCUUUGAAGGAUCAUGGCAGCGCUGCCUUACUGCUCCAGCCUGGUUCAGAGGAAACACAGAAAAUGAAGAUUUCCCAUUGAAGAGAGAGAUGCUUUUCUAGCUUGGAUUUUUUUUCUGUUUUGUGCUGCACUUCUGAAGAAUUCAGGUGGCUGACACAAACAUAAAUCCUUUGGGAGGUCAUUUCCUGAGAAAGGGAGGACUGUGUGGUGGCACAUGUGAAAAUGAGUUGAGAGCAGAAUUAAGCCCUGAGGAAAAAUAUGUCUGCAUCCUGGCUUAACGAAAGUUUAUCACUGGGCAGCCAAUAGGUUGAAUUAAAUUAAGUUCAGGUGAGAAGGAACUAUGAGCAAGAGUGAAUGAAAAAGGUAAAGGAGUUGUUGCAGCUAAAAGAGAAAAAGAAGUGUUUUUUCAUUAACAUAGGGAAAACUAACAGGAAGAACGCAUACCUGUGUACAUAUGUAUGUGUUGGGCAUAGAAGAAUUCACUAAGCCAUCUUUCUAGAAUAACUCUACUGCUAUCAAUGGGGUGGCCUUUUAAAAAUAAAUAAUUUUUUUUCUUUCACCUCUCAUCUCACUUUCAUUGCUGAAAACAACCAAGAGAUAACGGGGAAAACAGUCCUCCAGAAGACAAGAAGAACAUUUCUGCUUCUCCCUCCACACACCCCCCUUCAAAUAUAAGUAGAUCCAUGUGUGCAGAAAAGAGAAAGUUCCUGGAGAAGAACAAAUAAAGUUUUAUUGCUAUGU